GGGAGUCUUUGCGUGUAAUGAAAGAAAGAAACCGUAUGAGAGGAAACCGUGGACGCCAACACAAUCUUGCCCGACUGAACGCAGAGCAUUUGUGGGACGAGGAGGAGGAAGAAUACAAUGAUGAUUGACAAUAUAAAUCAGAUCAACAUACUGAAUUACAAAAAUUGGCUGAAGGUAUUAAACUUUUGGAAUGCUUUAAAAAAACCGCGCCGUCAGUGUUAAUAUUUGCGAAGAAGAAGCGCGACGUGGAUGCUAUCCACGAAUAUCUGCUAAUCAAAGAAGUGGAAGUUGUUGCAAUACAUGGAGGCAUCGAUCAGAAGAAAAGAUCACGUUCUGUCGAAGCGUUUCGCGCAGAUCAGAAGGACGUUCUGGUUGCGAUAGAUGUUGCGUCCAAAUGUCUCGAGUUUGCUGAUGUGCAACACAUAAUAAAUUAUGAUAUGCCACAUGAUGUGGAGAAUUACGGAUAGGACGUACUGAUCGUUCCGGACGUACUGGCAUCGCGACGGCUUUCAUUAAUAAGGCAAACGAUGAAUCGGUGUUGCUUGAUCUCAAAUAUUUGCUAAUGGAGGCGAAGCAGGAAGUGCCGUCAUUCUUGUUGAAACUUUGCUCGGAAACCGAAAAAUAUCUCAAUCUGGGAAGUAAGAUGAUAAUUGCAAUACAUUUGCUUUUUUCUUGUGAUGUUUAAAUCACAAGCGAACACUAGCGUUGAUUGCGCCUACAUUUGCGUGCGAGCGAGCGAGCUUUUUCUUUAUAGCUUUUUCCUUA